rnacentral:rRNA from 1 species
GCAAGAGCUCAGAUUUGAAAUCGUGCUUUGCGGCACGAGUUGUAGAUUGCAGGUUGGAGUCUGUGUGGAAGGCGGUGUCCAAGUCCCUUGGAACAGGGCGCCCAGGAGGGUGAGAGCCCCGUGGGAUGCCGGCGGAAGCAGUGAGGCCCUUCUGACGAGUCGAGUUGUUUGGGAAUGCAGCUCCAAGCGGGUGGUAAAUUCCAUCUAAGGCUAAAUACUGGCGAGAGACCGAUAGCGAACAAGUACUGUGAAGGAAAGAUGAAAAGCACUUUGAAAAGAGAGUGAAACAGCACGUGAAAUUGUUGAAAGGGAAGGGUAUUGCGCCCGACAUGGGGAUUGCGCACCGCUGCCUCUCGUGGGCGGCGCUCUGGGCUUUCCCUGGGCCAGCAUCGGUUCUUGCUGCAGGAGAAGGGGUUCUGGAACGUGGCUCUUCGGAGUGUUAUAGCCAGGGCCAGAUGCUGCGUGCGGGGACCGAGGACUGCGGCCGUGUAGGUCACGGAUGCUGGCAGAACGGCGCAACACCGCCCGUCUUGAAACACG